UAGGGAAUAUUGGACAAUGGGCGAAAGCCUGAUCCAGCCAUGCCGCGUGAGUGACGAAGGCCUUCGGGUCGUAAAACUCUUUUCUGAGGGAAGAACAUCCGGGGUAGGAAAUGCCCCCGGCUUGACGGUACCUCAGGAAUAAGCAACGGCUAACUCCGUGCCAGCAGCCGCGGUAAUACGGAGGUUGCGAGCGUUGUUCGGAAUAACUGGGCGUAAAGGGAGCGCAGGCGGUUUGGUCAGUUCAAAGUGAAAGCCCGGGGCUUAACCUCGGAAGUGCUUUGGAUACUGCCUUACUCGAGUUCGUGAGAGGAAAGCGGAAUUCCAGGUGUAGCGGUGAAAUGCGUAGAUAUCUGGAGGAACACCGGUGGCGAAAGCGGCUUUCUGGCGCGAUACUGACGCUGAGGCUCGAAAGCAUGGGGAGCGAACAG
rnacentral:rRNA from 1 species